GACGAACGCUGGCGGCGUGCUUAACACAUGCAAGUCGAACGGAAAGGCCCUGCUUUUGUGGGGUGCUCGAGUGGCGAACGGGUGAGUAACACGUGAGUAACCUGCCCUUGUCUUUGGGAUAACUUCAGGAAACUGGGGCUAAUACCGGAUAGGAGCUCCUGCUGCAUGGUGGGGGUUGGAAAGUUUCGGCGGUUGGGGAUGGACUCGCGGCUUAUCAGCUUGUUGGUGAGGUAGUGGCUUACCAAGGCUUCGACGGGUAGCCGGCCUGAGAGGGUUACCGGCCACAUUGGGACUGAGAUACGGCCCAGACUCCUACGGGAGGCAGCAGUGGGGAAUAUUGCACAAUGGGCGGAAGCCUGAUGCAGAAACGCCGCGUGCGGGAUGACGGCCUUCGGGUUGUAAACCGCUUUCGCCUGUGACGAAGCGUGAGUGACGGUAAUGGGUAAAGAAGCACCGGCUAACUACGUG
rnacentral:rRNA from 1 species